rnacentral:rRNA from 1 species
GAUGAACGCUAGCGGCAGGCCUAAUACAUGCAAGUCGAACGAGAUUACGAGGCUUUCUUCUUAUGAAAGUGGCGCACGGGUGCGUAACGCGUAUGCAACCUACCUUCAUCAGGGGGAUAGCCCGGAAAAAAUCGGAUUAAAACCCCAUAAAAACACAGGAUAGCCUUAUCCAGUGUUCAAAUAUUUAUAGGAUUAGGAUGGGCAUGCGUGUCAUUAGCUAGUUGGCGGGGUAACGGCCCACCAAGGCGACGAUGACUAGGGGAUCUGAGAGGAUGACCCCCCACACUGGUACUGAGACACGGACCAGACUCCUACGGGAGGCAGCAGUAAGGAAUAUUGGUCAAUGGAGGGAACUCUGAACCAGCCAUGCCGCGUGCAGGAAGACAGCCCUCUGGGUCGUAAACUGCUUUUAUUCGGGAAUAAACCUUUCUACGUGUAGGAAGCUGAAUGUACCGAAGGAAUAAGGAUCGGCUAACUCCGUG